rnacentral:tRNA from 1 species
AAAAUCCGUCGACUUUACAAAUCGUGAGGGUUCAAGUCCCUCUAUCCCCAAAACAUUUGACUCCCCAAAUAUGUAUCCUAUCCCU